rnacentral:rRNA from 1 species
UACAGAGGUGGCAAGCGUUGUUCGGAAUUACUGGGCGUAAAGGGCGCGUAGGCGGCCUUCUAAGUCAGACGUGAAAUCCCCCGGCUUAACCUGGGAACUGCGUCUGAUACUGGGAGGCUUGAGUAUGGGAGAGGGAUGUAGAAUUCCAGGUGUAGCGGUGAAAUGCGUAGAUAUCUGGAGGAAUACCGGUGGCGAAGGCGGCAUCCUGGACCAUUACUGACGCUGAGACGCGAAAGCGUGGGGAGCAAACAGG